rnacentral:rRNA from 1 species
AGCGAACGCUGGCGGCAGGCUUAACACAUGCAAGUCGAGCGGCGUAGCAAUACGUCAGCGGCAGACGGGUGAGUAACGCGUGGGAACAUACCUCUUGGUUCGGAACAACACAGGGAAACUUGUGCUAAUACCGGAUAAGCCCUUACGGGAAGAUUAUCGCCGAGAGAUUAGGCCCGCGUCUGAUUAGCUAGUUGGUCGAGGUAACGGCUCACCAAGGCGACGAGUCAGAGCUGGUCUGAGAGGAUGAUCAG